UGACAACGGCACACGCCUAGACUGAGU
rnacentral:piRNA from 1 species